AGUCUGGACGCCGCUGCUUUCCGCAGGGAGAGGAGAGAUUCUGAUGGGCAGCCAGCCCUGGAGCAGACCUGUCGGGCCAUUUGCUCGCGAUGAUGGAUGGCUCUUUGGGACGGAAGAAGCGAAAGCUAAAUGGAACUUUUAUAGAGCUGGGAGAGGAGGAAGGCUGCAGAGCGAACUCUGCUCGUCUGGCUUCCAGAGGUUGCUGAACUGCAGCACCGACCACUCCUAGCCAGAGGCAUGAUGAGGCACCCUUGGCAAGGAGCGGCCCGGAAAGCACGUGGCUCCUGGCCCCUCUGAGCCAAAGUGGAGGGGCGCUGUUUUUGCAGCUCUCCCCUGGACCUGCGCCCUUGGGACCAACCUGACCAACCCCUAGGUACGCCCUUGCCCCUGCCCAUUGGCAAUGCCGACUGGCGCGGAUGGGAUCCUUCUGGUUGCAGCUCCUUGCCACAGAGGUAGAAAGGGACAACUAGGAUAGUCCGGAGUCUUUCAUCUUCCAAUGACAUCACAGAUUCCCAUCCCUGAAUACGUAAAGCAGAGAUGGAAAACCUGUGCUCCUUUCCCCAUGCUGUUGGGCUCCAGUCAGCAUAGCCCACCGGAAGUACACCUGGAAGGCCACAAUUGUGUGCUUACAAGAUGACUGCAGCCAAGGGAUACCUUUUCCACACACUUUAUCAGCCCCCUCCUAGAGUCACACAGCCUGUGCCACAGAGAGGAAGCAAGUGAUCACAUUCAUGCAGGGUGCAUGUCAAGAAAGUGAACAAAGCCAUUGCCUUUGUAUUAAAUUAUAUGGCCAAGGAGUUAGGCUUCUGGUAAAUGCUGGUCCAUUGAACAGGGAGGGAACACAGAGGCUAAGACUUGUGGGAAUGUUCAGGGAUGCAGGAGAGGAUAUAUUGUUUGAUUAUAGCCUUUCCAACUUGUGUUAACAAGUUCCACAAUUUAGCAGAGUAACAUUCCCCUUUUUAAACUCACAGAGGAUGCAUUUGCUCAGGCUCGCUACAGCCUCUAUAAUAACUGUCCUGGUAUUUUCCCUUUAUUCCCUCAUAAAAGAUAAGAAACAACACAGUCUUCAUAAAAGUAUAAGAAGAGUUUACUCACUCACAUUCUGUUCACAGUUGGAUCCCAGAAGGCAUACUUAGCUUAGAAAAGUAACAUACACCUGGAAACUAUCCCAUAAAGAGACAGUCCCUUUGUCCUCUCUUGGCUGGAAGCCUAGAGAGCAUCUUUGGCUAAGCAGAUGUUGCUUCUUCAAUGAAAGUAGUCGGAGAGAGAGAAAGAUGGUGGCCAGUCCUGUGCUUUUGUUACCUGCACAGGUGAGGCCAUGCCCACCUCUGGUCACAUGUAGAGGAAUUCUGUCCCAGACAGGAGAAACAAGAAGUUUCAACUGGCUGGUCCAGACAUCCCCUUUUAUGUCCACUCUAGGGAUGUUGUACUUGACUGCUCUUGUGUUUCACAUCCCACAAGACAAACCCCAAGAUCAAUCCAUUAAUUCAUGGCAGGGAACUCAAAACAUACAGUGCAAACUUCCACAGGCCUGCCUACCUUUUGCCUGCUAUCAACUCUCCCUUUACCACCACAGUAGUCAACAGGCCUUUCUGCCUGCAACUCCUUGACCUACAGGUAGAAAUGAGCAGCUAGCAUAGCCCUGCUUUCUCUUGCAGCUGCUGUUUUGACACCACUUCUAUACAGGGAUCAAGGAAGAAUGUCACACUCCCUUGCUAUGAUCGGUGUCUUGCUCGCUAGCCUAAAACUUGGUGGCUACAUGUGGCAUGUGCCAUUUCAAAUGUUGCAAUCAUGUAUUACAUGCCCACAUUUUGGGCUUUCCUUGAUCACUGUGUGUGAAUGCAGUCCAUGUGUGAACAAAAUUAACAGUCACACACAAUAAAGCUUUUGUCUUUCUUGUCUGUCAAUGGGUGUCCUCAGUAUAGGAAGAAAGGGGAAUCUCCCACACACAAAAAGCUGGCAGUUAAACUUGGGUUGCACUGAUGGGGUAACACCAGGGAAUUAUUCUAAGUUUAUGCCUAUGUAAAUGAAAUCAACUUGUACUUUGUUCUGUGUUGCUAAGAGAGCCUUGCAGCUUUCUCACGGAGCUGUCUCAAUACAGAAAUAGGAUGCUCUAUAAAAGCAGCAAGGAUUUGAUUUUUCUCUGCCCACGCUUUAAUGCUGUUUAAUUCUUCUUGGUAAUGGCAUUCUAGAUUUAUAAUGGAAAGGCAAGGUCAGUCGUUGGCUUGCUUCGGUUCUAUUUUAUUUAAGAUUCUAUUGAGAAAUCAGAACUUCGAGGCACUACUUCAGUCUUCUGGAGCAGGUACAGGAAAGUCAAUACCUUGUAUUCAAGUUUUCCAGUAACCCUCCCUCCCUUUCUCCAGUGAAGUUUGAUUUUAGUAAAAGAGAUCGCCCCCCCCCCCGAUUUAUCAACUACUAGUUAAAUUAAUUAUUGAAUUCCUUUAAAAAAAACAAAAAAGAAAGAAACCAUCUUAACUGGUAGGUAGAUUAUUGCCUACAAUAUCAAUACUCUUCUAUUUUAUUCUAGGUAUGUCCAUGUUCUCCAUAGGAGUAUAUUCUGGAUCCCUACUGAGUGAAAUAGCUUAAUCACCCUGCAGCAACACGCUGUCUUUCUUUCCUUUGCAGAGACAACACUGAGUAGGUUAAUGGUAUCCAUUGAUUGAUCCAUGCAGACAGUGACCACAAAGGAAAGCACAGUCUACUUUGCAAUUGCUAAUAAGCAGGAAAGAUAAGCCACCAUAAAGCAGCUGAGCUGAUAUAGUAGGGAGGCAAAGGAGCAGGGAAAUUCAUUUUGCCACCCUUACAGACUUUCAGCAGUGCAAAGCCACCUUCUGGCCCCUCAGUCCUUCUCUUUGCCAGUUCCCAGAGUUGCUCUAAUUUGGAAAAACAAGUGCUUUGUGCUUCAGAAUAUUCACAGCCUUAUAAGACUGGCUGUGACCUGGGAAUUGUCUAGUCCACUCCUGUGCAUUGAAACAGAAUCUCUAUACCCUAUGCGCCAACAUUAGUUGUUAUCAACUUGAUUCUAGUGUGCAACAACUAGCAGAGAAGUAGUAACCAUGAUACUCUGGUAUCCUUCAUUAGAAGCUAUAACUCAAGAGAUGGAGCAAGUGCUUUGCAUAAAUCAGUUCUCCCUCCUCCAAUCUUCAAUUAAAGGCACCCUGAGUCAUUGUCCAAUCGUAUGCAGGAAGGAAAAACUCCACACAAGAGAUGGGAGCCAAGGAGUGCUGUUGACAACUUGUAGUGUCCAUUUGUGCUCAUGGAUGAAUCAGUGCAUGAGCCCCAGGGGCUGGGUCAUAUUAUGUAAAUAUUAGUCGCUUUAGAAAUACCUACUCAGAGUUUCAAAAUAAAAUGUCAACCUCUAGGUUUUCCCUGCUUAUACAGCAUGAAAGAAAAUGUCACUGAUUUGAAUUUGAUGUAGGAAUAACAGCUUUUAUGCCAUGGAAUGUUUUCCUUCUCUGCUCAGUGGUAUUUGAUUUCUGAAGGAGUAAAAAAUUGUUCUCUAGGGACAAUUAUAUAUUUGAGAUAGGAAGAUGUGGUAGACCAAGCAGCUUAUGGAGUGACUGUGUGAAGUACAGACAAUUUGCUGGUAUAACACAGCUGCAAAAUAGCUAAGUGAGACAAAGUAUAUUCUGCACUGAAAAGUUCUAUAGGCCUGACUUAACGAUAAUAAUGAAUGUGAGAUGAUGUCGUGCAUCUCUUUUAAAGCUGAGAAAGCUAGAACUAUUAUGCAGUAUAUAUAUUUUUAAUGCAAGACUUUUACAGGAAGAUAAUAAUAAUAAUAAAAACCCCUUCUGUUAUUUAUCACAAGGUAUUCAGAGUCAUGGUUGGUGGAAUCUCAUUUGCGGAAUCCCUUCCUUAGUGAUGGAAGUCCUUUUCACCACUGCACUAAUCCCUACACAUGUGAACACAUUAUUUUUUCUGAGAUCUGCUUAGAAGAAUAGAUGAUACAACAUGACAAUCUGUGAUCACACCCAAUUUUUAUUUUAAAACAUGUGAAAUCUGGACCUGCUUUAAGAAAUAAAGAGGUGGCUAAUGUUUUUGUGAAUAGCAUUUAUAAAUAUUCUCAGCCUGACAAAUUUUGUGGCUAGAGACCAAUGCUGAAGAGACAUCUGCAGCCGGGGGAAGACGAAGGUGUCUAGUUGUGCUGCUGCACAUGCAGCAUGGCGUGUCUUGUCUCUGCGCUGCUCCCUUCAGCCAUUCCUAAAAUUCACAAAAUGUGUUCAUAAAAUGUUUCUUUCUAGUGUUAUUUGGCUACUGCAGAACAAACAGCUUCCUGAGGUAUAUUUUAAUGGCUGUGGCAUCUGUGGCAUGAGAAGGCAAAUUUGUUGAUGGCAACUCUUCUUUUUUCAUCUUCUCAGUCUACCCUCUUGCCUUGUGUAUUGAAGAUAAUGAGGCCAUUCUCAGAACAGGCCACUGCCUUUUUGCUACCAUUAUUACAUGUGCUGCCAUUUGUGUACUAAGAGGUCCAGAUGCUUGUGACAGCUUGAUUUCCUGGAGCAACCUACAAGGACACUGCAAGAAAGGCAAAAUGCUUUAGCUUCAGUGACAUGGAGGGGGAAAUAUUCUGCAAUGUGACAGUAGCAAUGCUACAAUUUCGUAACACUUUCAUCUCAAAUGUUUGCUUUUCUUUAGCUUCUGACAGCCUUAAGCAUCACCCUUUCAGCUAAAUUUCUUCUCCAGGCUGGAGAGAUUUAUACUUGUAUACAUUUAAACUGACUGUUUUCUAUCAGUUGUUUUAUCUGUUUGUUUAUGUUACUCCCCCCCACACACAGUUAAAGAGGAUAAGAUGACUGUUAUUGACUAUGCCAAUGUUUCUCAAACUUCGAUCGCCAGCUGUUGUUGGACUACAACUCCCAUCAUCCCUGACCAUUGGUCCUGCUAGCUAGGGAUGAUGGGAGUUGUUGUCAAACAACGGCUGGAGAUCCAUGUAUGAGAAACACUGGGCUAGCUAUAUCAUUAAAUGCUGCAUGUGUGUAUUGUAAAUCAGGAAUGGAAAACUGUGAGCCUCUAGGUGCUGCUGGUCUAUAGUUUCUUUGAUCCCUGACCAUUGGGCCAUACCGGCUGGGGCUGAUGACCAGGGCUGAGUCCAACAAGAACUGGAGGGUGGCAGCUUGGCCAUCCCUGUCUUAAACCAUGAUUCUUAAAGUUUAAGGAAGAUCUCUAUAUACAAAACUGCAAGCACUAAUUAGGAGAACUCUGAAUUCUUCUUGAACUCCAAACCUCAAUUUAGGUGUCUUGUUUGGAUGAAAACGUGGGCGUGCUGCUUCCCCUCUUCCAAAUCAGAGGAACACAAGCAAUUGUCUGGAUAAUAUGUCUUCCUACUUGUGCUGAUUAGGAGUGCUUGGAAUUCAAGACAACAAAUGCUUCCCUCCCCUAUAGGAUUUCCUCUGCAGUUUCAUUCUCUGGACGUCCACAUGGAGUUGCAGUGCAAUGACAGUUAGAAAAAAGGACCAGUGAGUACUAUCAACUUUUCCCCAUAAUAAUGCACGUCAUCUGUCUGAGAAUAAAGCAACUAAGGGGGAAGUAUGUCUAGUUAUUCUUUUCUGUGAAUUGCCAGGUUGGGCAGGGCAUGAAAGAGUUCACAGACUCAUCAGGAUUUUUGUUCCUCUGGAUUUAAAGGUUUUGUGACAUGUAGCUCAGGAUGGAUAAUUGUGUUGAUUUUGUUUUGUCUCAGAUUCUAAUUUUCCCAGUCUUAGGUUUCGUUUUCCACAUUUCUGCACCAGUCCUCCUGAAGAUAUAUUAGCAUUUUAGUAAAAUUUCUCCUAUUAUCACGGCUGGCUCACUCAUGAGGUGAGGUAAGGCAGUGGCCUCAGGGUCCAGACUUCGGGGGUGGGGGGAGGCAGCUUCUGAGAAGUGUGCUGCUUACUACCGCCUGCAUUUGUCAACCUCCUCUGUAUAUCCUGCAUGCCCUGAUGGGCAGAGUGGCAUUUUCUAUAUUGCUUCUAGUGGCAAAAUGUCCUGGGGCUGCCUACCAAUAAUGCAUGUCUUUGUAUGCAAUAUUGCCGGAUAUACCGAUUUUUGCAAGCCAUAUCCCCUAAUAAAAUGUAUUUAAGAUUC